UGAAACAUCUCGUAAAAAGGCCCAUUGUUAUUUGAAAGCUUAUUGUAAUCAAAAUAGUUCGUGUUAUGGAGACCACCGAAAACAAAAAACAAAUAGAUUGCGGUUCACCGAGGCAAAGCUACCAAGUCACUGUUCCCACCUGAUAAAACCGGUAAUACUGACAUGGAUUGCAGUGAUGACGAGGACGAGAGCAUUCUUCAGCUUCCUGAAAGAAUGCUGCAGAGUGAAGUAGAACUCAUCAACGGUACAGGUGAGGACAUUUCGUCUGUAAAGAAGUCCUUAAAAGCUAAGAAAACGAAUGGGAAAAGAAAGAACAAAGUUGCAAGGUGGAUCGAGGACGAAGAAGAGUUCGUUACUCACCAUGGAAUAGAACACGAUAGGCCUAUGUUGACAUCAGUUGAUUGCUUCGAAAAAAAUGUUCUCUUAUUCGAUUAUGGAGAUGAUAGUAGAUAUGUCCAAUAUGUAUGCUUUACAGAAGCACAAUAAAAUUUUAGAUCUAA